CCAGACUCCUACGGGAGGCAGCAGUGGGGAAUAUUGGACAAUGGGGGGAACCCUGAUCCAGCGACGCCGCGUGAGUGGAGAAGUAUUUCGGUAUGUAAAGCUCUAUCAGCAGGGAAGAAAGAAAUGACGGUACCUGACUAAGAGGCCCCGGCUAACUACGUGCCAGCAGCCGCGGUAAUACGUAGGGGGCAAGCGUUAUCCGGAUUUACUGGGUGUAAAGGGAGCGUAGACGGCUGUGCAAGCCAGAUGUGAAAGCCCGGGGCUCAACCCCGGGACUGCAUUUGGAACUGUGUGGCUGGAGUGUCGGAGAGGCAGGCGGAAUUCCUAGUGUAGCGGUGAAAUGCGUAGAUAUUAGGAGGAACACCAGUGGCGAAGGCGGCUUGCUGGGCUUUUACUGACGCUGAGGCUCGAAAGCGUGGGGAGCAAACAGGAUUAGAUACCCUAGUAAU
rnacentral:rRNA from 1 species